rnacentral:rRNA from 1 species
UACGUAGGGUGCAAGCGUUGUCCGGAAUUAUUGGGCGUAAAGAGCUCGUAGGCGGUUCGGUAAGUCGGGUGUGAAAACUCUGGGCUCAACCCAGAGAGGCCACCCGAUACUGCUGUGACUAGAGUGCGGUAGGGGAGCGGGGGAAUUCCUGGUGUAGCGGUGAAAUGCGCAGAUAUCAGGAGGAACACCGGUGGUGUAGACGGCUUUCUGGACCGACACUGACGCUGAGACACGAAAGCGUGGGUAGCAAACAGG